rnacentral:lncRNA from 1 species
UCUUCAUUACGGUAUUUCCUUUCCAAACAUAUCCUGAUAUGCCUUACUUGAGCUGAAGGUUUUUCAGAAAUAACUAUCUUCAGAAGCUAUGAGGUAACUAACGCGUACACACCACCUUCUCCAAACAAGCGAUUACAUUGGAGGUGAGAUUCAGAAGACUAUGUUACUCCCAGGUCAUCCCAUAGCUUGCUAGAAAGUCUGCCACCAUAUUAGCCUGUCGGUAAACGUGGCGCUCUUGUGAUCGAUCCAUUGUCCUCAAGUAGGAACCUGCAAUCAUUUAAAAUGUGCGAGUAUUAUGCAUGUGUAAGGGACAGGAACUUUGCAAUACCUGAAAAUAUGUUUCUACAAUUAAUGAAAAUAGAUUCUUUGUAAAAGCCAGCUCUAGUCCUUGAAUAGAGCACUUGUAUCCUCUACUCAGCAGAUUGGGAGGAUAUUUUUAUUCAGGUUAACAGAUUUUGUUACCAAGGCUUGGGUCUGAUCAUAACCCAAUCCUGCUUACUUGUGGGGACUGGAACUUUAAGAAAACUUACUUCAAGAAGUAGAAGGGUUUAAGGGAGUCCGGAGCUAAAAGAGACUUUUUAAGCUUAGGAGUAAACGGACAGUUCUUUUUUUAAUGUACCAAAACGGACAGUUUGUCCAAAAAUGGGUGAAGUAACACUGACACCGUCUGUGAACGUUCGAGAAGGAAAAAAUAUUCACACAUUAUUUUUUUUUCCUUAUAAGAAAUUUAAACGAUCAACUAUUUAUGCAAAAAAAGUGUUUCGUGAAUAAUGAAUGUUGCUCGUGAUAAAUGAGAUAAAAUAGAGUGAACAACAACACAUUUUAUAAGUGAAAAGGUUGUAUCAUUUCUCAAAAAUUGUAAUAACAAAAUAUUUAGGAAUAUUAGCAAUGUAGUUUGCCCAAACAAAAGUAGUUUGUCAACGAAUGGGCAAAGUAUUAAAUUUUUUUUUAUAAAAAUGUAGUUUGCCUAUUUUGGACAAACCCUAUUAACAUUUUUUUUUUCUCCCUAAACAUUCACAGAUGGCGUUAGUUGUUUCUCAUUUUUGGACAAACUGUUCGUUUUGAUAUAUAUAUAUAUAUAGAGAGAGAGAGAAACUGUUCGUUUUAACUUCGGGGCUUGGAAAAAAUGCCCCUUUUAGAUCCGAACUCGGUUCAAGGAGAAGAUUAAAGACUGGUGGAGCUCUUUAGCUAUUAUCUCAUAUGUCAUCUGUUUAGUGUUGGAUCACAUCCAUGGCAAAAACAAAUGUGUCAAAAUUCUCUCUUUAUUGAAGGGGGAAAUGGAUACUAGCGAGUUACCUUAUAAGUUUAGCAUAAGUAUUCAUCAUAUCAUUAGAAAAGAUGAUGUUAGUAGACGAAGAGGUAAACAAUUUUCUCCUAUUUGACUGCUUCAUUGAAAGUUCUGCCGGACGGAUUUUUGUUUAUGUUUAAUUUUUCCUGUGAUUUGCACAAUUUAUUUUAGCUCUUUAACUUUAUCAAUAAUUAUUUACGUCCUAAAUAAUUUUUGCGUGAAUUAUAUUUUCCCCUUAAGGACUGAUGCGCCGAAGAAAAAAAUAAAAGGAUCAAAUAAGUGGGCUCACCUUUAAAUUUUCAGCCGCUAAUCUUUCUUCUUCUUCACAACUCAUCGUCCUCUCUCUUCUUCUUCCUCACAUCCCACCACUCCUCUCCUUUUUUUCUUCAUUUUUCUUCACCACCAUCAUCAACCAACUCAAAUGUACAUGGAAAAUAUUUCAUGUGUAUUUCUAUCAUAAGUUCAGUUUUUCAUAAUUUUUUCUUAAAGAAAAUUCAAUUUAUUCCAUCAUAAUUAUUUUUUCUCAAUAAUAAAACUAAUUUCAAAUUUAUUGAAUUCUUGUUUUGAUGAACAAAUUGAAAAUACUCAUAUGAAAAACAUUGAAAAAUUCGUAUUGAGAUUGAAUCGAAGAAGAAAAUCGCAAAAGAAAAUCAAAUCCAACAAAAUUCUUCUCAAAAUUUGACACCCAUACUUGACAAAAAAAUUCAACAUAUUUUUUAUUUCUAAUUUUUUAUCCUCAAAGUAAAAUUCUUUUGGAUUAUAAUUGUAAUUUUUCAAAAAUUAAAUUUCAAAGAUUUGAGUCUAAAAUUAAAAAAAAAAAGUUGAAGAAGAAAGAAUGAGGUGGGGGAAG